GUGAGGAAUAUUGGUCAAUGGGCGAGAGCCUGAACCAGCCAAGUCGCGUGAAGGAAGAAGGAUCUAUGGUUCGUAAACUUCUUUUGCAGGGGAAUAAAGUGCAGGACGUGUCCUGUUUUGUAUGUACCCUGAGAAUAAGGAUCGGCUAACUCCGUGCCAGCAGCCGCGGUAAUACGGAGGAUCCGAGCGUUAUCCGGAUUUAUUGGGUUUAAAGGGUGCGUAGGUGGUUUGAUAAGUCAGAGGUGAAAGUUUGCAGCUUAACUGUAAAAAUGCCGUUGAAACUGUCGGACUUGAGUGUAAAUGAGGUAGGCGGAAUGCGUGGUGUAGCGGUGAAAUGCAUAGAUAUCACGCAGAACUCCGAUUGCGAAGGCAGCUUACUAAGCUACAACUGACACUGAAGCACGAAAGCGUGGGGAUCAAACAGGAUUAGAUACCCCUGUAGUCC
rnacentral:rRNA from 1 species